GUUUGGAUAUAUUUUAGAUAUCUAAUUUCAUAUGUUAUAAUUUUUAAUAGUAAAAUAAUUUGUUCAAUUGAUUCACCAAACGAAAUAAUUUAAAAAUGACAUUUUCCGGUUGGAGGUAGCAGCUAGCAACACUUGGCAAAUGGCGGGAUUCUGAGCGGAGCACCGUACCGUGCGGUCGUGCAACCGAGAUUGUGUGGAAAAGAAUAAAGAUUGAUAGUUUGUUGAAAGUGUUGACGUUUUCUUGGAGAGGAGUCCUAUACCUUGGAGUGGAGUUCUUACAUUUCAGAAGUGGGCUACAGCGCAAAUACUGCUUGCCAGAUCAGACCAUGAAUGCCACCGGCAGCUGGACUCAGCACAGGCUGAAGAUGCCGGAAAGAGAGUCGCCGCGAAGCAACCACACUGGCAGUCGAAGCGGAAGUCGCAGUCGACGUCUGGGAGAGCAAGAGAGGAGCGCGAGCCAGCAAAGAUCAGCGCCGCACUGCCACGAUGGGCACCAGGAUGUCAACCAGGAACAACAACCAUCACGAAGGUUAUGUAGUCCAGUUUUUUUUACUACUAACGAUCUUUUAAAGCUACUAAAUUCCGUUAAACGUGUACCGUCGCGUCGCCGUCUCAACCCAUGGCUCAAGGCGCACCAUCGAAACAUUUCGAUUUUAAAAACAUAUUGCCUAAUUUUAAUCCGGCUACUAAAAAUCAACGCAUGGAUGUUUGGCUUAGAAAGGUGAACGAGUGCGCCUCAGCCGAUGGUUGGGACGACAAAUGACGAUAUUUUUGCUAUGCAGGAGCUGCAGGGAUUGGCCAAACUUGAUAUGAGAGUUUAAACUCUAAACUAUUUACGUGGCGGGAGUGUCAGGAGAAAUUACUUAGUGCAUUCCUUGUGAACAAAUUAUGGUCAAACCCUGGAGGACAUGCUUAAUAACUUCCCUGUCCCAUGAGUCAUAUGUGAAACACACCGAUUGUCUUACUAUUGUGUCUGCUUCGUGGACAGUGAAGUGGUUAAACGUAGAAGUAGAUGCUACGAACGAACCUAUUUAUGAUUUAUUAUUAUGAAAAACUUGCUGAAUCAGUGCGAUAUCACGGGAAAACGAGCUGUAGAUUGCAUUAGCAUUACCCACAGAAUCAGUGAUCGGACUGUGAAAUCUAAUGCUUUGCGAGAUGCCUGACCAGUUACUUCAGUCCUUGAUUAACAAUAAAGAAUUUUAAUUGUAAGCAGAAGAAGGACAUCCUUACCUUCAAUGUCCUAAGCCUUUUAUCCGAUGCGAUAAAUGGAAAAGUAGGUCACAAAACCGACAACUGUUUCAGUAAACAGGAUAGAUCUGAGCUUUUUUUUUUAUUUGUGUUAACAUGUGUGUAACUACGUUUUAUUUAAAAAAAAAAAAAAAAACUUAUUUAUGGCAACUGGUUUAUUUUUAAAUAGUGUAUAGAUUGAAAUUAACGAAAAUUAAGUUAGAACGCCAAAAAUAUAACUAGAAUAAAAAAUAUCCGAAUACAUGAUGAAAAAGCUGAGUGAAAAAGUCUAAAAAACACUAAACACUUCGAGAAUGUGACUCUAUUGAGAAUGAUAUUAACAAAAAAAAUACACAAAGUAUUAUUAAUAUUUUUACUACUAAUUAAAGAAAACAAUCUUGUCAACAGAAAAAAAAAACACAAAACACGACAAUUCUUUGAACGUUUAAUAACAAAAAUCAAACUUUCAGUUAUGUGACUUUUGAUGCACAUCGGAUAUUAAUUUUUAAAAUAUUAAGCUAUAAUAAAAAUAUAUUUCUGCAGUGAUCCCUAGUUAUGAAUCAAAAUUAAAUUCCUGUCCAUGUCGAAAACAGAACAAAACAGUGUUUUAUAAAGAAUUUUAAUUUUUUUUUGUUUAAAAUAGAAAACAGGGACAGUCAUACCACUGAACGCCUGAAAAGGAUAAAGCUUCAUCUACGUGGACGCUAUUAUUAUAAUUAUGUAAUAUUCCAGAUCAACAUUUAAUAAUAAUCAAGAAAUACUAUAUCUUUUCAAUAAUGGAACAAAUAAUUACAAAAAAAUGUUAUACCUCGUUUACAUAAAGAUUGUAAACAUGAAUAAAAUAAAAAUGAUACCCACAGAAAACUAUUAUUCUGAAUUUCUGAAACAACAUCACUGUUUCCAUGUAAACUUAACUUUAUAGGAUCAGUCAUGUUGUGACUUUGAGCUCAGCCCGUAUGUGACCAUAGAUUUGGUCACAAAACGGAAGUCACAUUUUCAUACUUGCCGAUUAAAAAGAAAAUUAUAAAUAAUUAUUUGUGGUUCUUUUCCAUUUGAUGUCAUUUUAAAAAGUAACCGAAAGAAAUGGCGGUUUCUAGAAAUAAACAGCAAUCCUAAUAUUUGGUUACGCUGUAGUAAAAUUCAAACACAUAUCUGAACAUAAAUUCCGUUCUUGUACAAUAAAACGUCUACGUUCCUCAAAGUCAUUUUGACUUUAAUUAAUAGUAAAGUAAAAUAAAACGCAGUAGUAUGUUUAAGUAGUGCCUGUUUCAAAGUAUUAGGACCCAAAAAUUGUGGCUUAAAGUACUAUAAAAUGCGGUCACGAUACUGAAUGUUCAGGGUGGAUCAAAUUUUUUUAUUUUUUUAUGUAAAUAAGCCAGCAUAUUACAAAUGAAUUGAUGAAUAUUAUUAAAUGAUGACGAAUAACCAAUUAAUAUUUUUAUAAAAUGAUUAUCGAUAUUUUGUUUUCUUUUAUUGAUGCGAGAUAAGGAAUUGUCCAUAAAUUGAUUUUUGUCAUUGAUUGUUUAAUAUCAAGUGGUUACCAAGAUUUUAUUCCUUAGAAAUGUCAAAAGGUUAAUAUUAGGGGUUAAAGUAUGAAAUUGCCGUUUUAUUCUAGUAGGUUUUUGAAUUGCCAUAGAGUCUUCAUGGUUUGAGGUUUUCGAAUGAAACUUUUUUCACGUGGUUUCUGUGAUGUUCUUCUUUUAAAAAAUGUGAAACAUUUGAUUAUCGAUGUUCAAUUGUUUUUGUUAUUCAACUUAAACAAGAAAGAUGGACACUGCGAAAAUUUGAGUAAUUUUUGAAUAUGAGUUCCGACGCGGAAGUAAACGGCAGAAACAGCCCGCAAUAUCAAUGCUGCAUUUGAAGAGGUGUCUGCUAAUGAACGCACCGUGCGAUUUUGGAUUAAACGCUUUCGUGGUGGAAACUUCGACUUGAAGAACGAGCCAUGAAAAAGACCGCCUGACAGGUGAUUAACGAGAAAUUAAGAGAGACGGCGAACGCCGAUCCUAGUCAAACUACCCAGAUACCCAGCCGAAGACGAAUAAUGUUGAAAAAAUUAGCAGUAAAACAGCCACGACUCAUGAAUCGACCUUCACCGUUAUUGCUCCAUGACAACGCGAGGCCUCAUACAGCAAAAGAAACCGUUUUAACUCUUCAGGAACUGCAGUUGGAAACUAUUCGUCUUCCUCCAUAUUCGCCAGACCUUGCUCUAACGGACGACCAUUUUUUUUUGUGAUUUGGACAAUUAUCUGCGUCACAAGAAGUUUCUUCCCAGGAGGCAGAUCAAAAUUCUUUCACACAGUUUGUGCAGUCUAGAUCCUCAGAGUUCUAUCGUAACGGCAUAAAUGACCUUCUUAUUAGAUGGCCGCAAUGUAUAGAUAAUAAUGGCAACUAUUUUGAUUAAAUAAGUUUGUUAAAAAUUAAAAAAAAAUACAAUUUAGAUUUUCAGUACAAAUCGGCAAUUUCAUACUUUAACCCCUAUUAUUUAAGUUUACUUACUUCCUUUUAUGUAUUGUUAUGUAUUGUUAAGUAUUGUUAGUUAUCCAUGAUAUUCCUUUGAAUUCGAAUGAAGUCUUUAGAUUAAGAUGACACAUGUAAAUGAUUGAGUAAUGAUGAUCUUUUGAAUUAUGCGAGAAAUGAAUGGUUCGCUAUUUAGAUUGAGUGUCUGUGAGAAAUGAAGGGUUCAUAUGACAAUCAAUUUUCAGUUGGAUAUGACCUUGCGAUAAAUGAAUGACUGGUUUUGGUCAUCAUUUUAUAUUCUCGCGAGAAACGAAAGUUUCGUGGGAGCAUAAAUUAUCAAGUAAGGCUGUAAAUAGUUUAUUGUCUCAAAAAAGAUACACACAAGAGAAAACACACAUCAGUGAUUACAAUUUUCACAUGUACAAUAAUUUCGUUGAACACUGGUACCCAAAGGAAAAUUUAACUUGUGGUAUGGGUACAGGGGCUCUCGAUAUUGAUUUCCACAGAUAGUUAACGUGAAAGUUAAUAGUAGUGAAUCGUACAUUAGAUGUAGAAAUGGUAUGGUGGGAUUGCUGGGUUUCGUGGAUCUAGGUUUAACAUGAGUUGAGGUAAACGCGGUUGUUUCUUGCAAGGUCGUUAACGAUAAUUUGUUAGACACACCAAUUCUUAUCGGGCAGACGUUGACCGAGCAGCCACUUCUAGUUAUUUAGAAGGAUUUUAAUGAGCUUAAAUUCUCAAACCACCGAAAUGUUCGGAUGAUAGCAAUAAUGAUAAAACGGUUACAGUCAGUAACUCUUUUAAAGUAGAGUCACCGUUUCACGCACUCCAUUUAGACCACUUGGGGCCUUUUGUGAAGUCAACAUUUGGGUAUAUUCACAUACUGGUGGUAGCUGAUGUUUUAACAAUAUCGUAUUUAUUAGAGCCGUUAGGAACACUAAUACACAGAAUGUUAUCAAGGUCUUAAAUGAUAUAUUUGAUACUUUUAGGACGCCCAUCCGUUUAAUAAGUAAUCGCCGUAGUUGUUUUACUUCACAUGCGUUUAAAAGGCUUUGUCUGGAUAAGGGCGUGAAAAAUGUUUGAACGCGGUGGCUUAUCCGCGCUCAGACGGACGAGUGGAGCGAUAUGGUCGCGCCAAAUUGGAGGCAUUAAAGGCGCAAAACGUGGGCAGUGACGAAAGAGACUGGGAUAGUAAGAUGGGGAAAAUCCAGUGGGGUCAUAAUGAUAGCUUGCAGAAGACCAUAGGUCCGAAGAGGUGAAUGAAUGGUGAAAUGAAUCCCAUAUUAAACGAAGUAGCCCGGGCUAAUGAUGUUGAUUAUGAUAGUGAAUUAGUAUUAUGAUAAGAGUGGAAAGCAGGCUGGAAUUUGUAGUAAAGGAUUUGGUCAAGUUACUAAAAUGAAUUUGCAUAAUGAGGGUAAAAGUUUAAAGCUUUUAGAGUUACGAAGGUCUUAGGCAACAACAGGUAGAGACUGGUUCCUGUCCUAGUACUUGAGCGUACGCGUACGCCUAGUGUGGGCGCAACGCUGCCGUGGCUGUGGAUUGAAUGCGUCUUUUGAUUCAUGCGGAGUCACUGGGGGUGAACGAUGACGGCAUUGAUUGAGUGUAUAAAUCGAGUAAUGAUGGUAGUGGUGAUGAAAUGUAGAUAAGCGUUUUUAAAAGAUAUAAUAUUAUGUGAUUGUUUAUUGCGAAACAGAUGUAUAGAUUAGAUUAAAUUAGUUAUUUUCUUAUAAUACAUUUACAGAUUAUCUGAUUUAAUUGUUUUUACCGGAUACUUGUUCAUUGUAUGAAUUUAGUAUUGUUACAGAUAUCGCUCCUUGACUCUAAGAAGUGAUUGGUUUAAAGAUUCGAGAGAGAAAUUCGUCACGAGUCGUCGAGAAUUGACUGGUUCGAAGCAUAUGCAGAUGAGUUUAUAGUGUAAGUCCUUCAGAAAUGAAUGGUUGAAGGCAUUCUAGUUUCUCCUUCAGAAAUGAAUGGUUGAAGGAGUUCGUCUAGUUGAAACCCUCAGAAAUGAAUGGUUGAGGGAUAGGAAGUCCUCGAGAAUUGAUUGGUUCGAGCACAUGAUGAGUUUAUGUUGUAAUUCCUUCAGAAAUGAAUGGUUGAAGGAGUUAGCAUUAGUGUUUUGACUGUGGUGUCUCAAUCAAUAUAUUUAUGCCAAUAUAAUAUAUGUAAGGCUUAUUAAUGUUAAUGAUUAUUUCACAGAUACAGUGUUGUUUUUUUUUUGUUUUAAUUUUUGUGAAUAUAAUUUGAAACGAUGUUGAAUUGUACAAGUUGUAAUUCAAUUAUUAUUAAAUUGUAAUAGACAGCUGUGUUGCUGGGAAGUUUGUUCUUCACCACUUCUUCUUCCCAGCCAUAACACUAGGAAGUGGUGAAAGGGGGGCGUUUUGGGGGUGCUGUCCUUUUAUGUAAAAUAUCGCUAUUGGCCAAGUGUAAGGUUAGCCCACCUAGUACGUGUAUGGGGACAUACACGAGGUCAGGAUGGACGAGUGUAAGGUUUGGAUAUAUUUUAGAUAUCUAAUUUCAUAUGUUAUAAUUUUUAAUAGUAAAAUAAUUUGUUCAAUUGAUUCACCAAACGAAAUAAUUUAAAAAUGACAUUUUCCGGUUGGAGGUAGCAGCUAGCAACACUUGGCAAAUGGCGGGAUUCUGAGCGGAGCACCGUACCGUGCGGUCGUGCAACCGAGAUUGUGUGGAAAAGAAUAAAGAUUGAUAGUUUGUUGAAA
rnacentral:lncRNA from 1 species